rnacentral:misc_RNA from 1 species
UAAGAGAGCAAGCAGGGGCUGAU